UACGUAGGGUGCGAGCGUUAAUCGGAAUUACUGGGCGUAAAGCGUGCGCAGGCGGUUUUGUAAGCCAGAUGUGAAAUCCCCGGGCUUAACCUGGGAAUGGCAUUUGGGACUGCAAGGCUCGAGUGCGGCAGAGGAGACUGGAAUUCCUGGUGUAGCAGUGAAAUGCGUAGAUAUCAGGAGGAACACCAAUGGCGAAGGCAGCUCGCUGGGACGGUACUGACGCUGAGACGCGAAAGCGUGGGGAGCAAACAGG
rnacentral:rRNA from 1 species